UGCCCUGUAGCUCAAUUGGCAGAGCACCUGACUCUGGAUCAGGGGGUUUCAGGUUCGAAUCCUGACAGGGCAG
rnacentral:tRNA from 1 species